AGCAGCCGCGGUAAUUCCAGCUCCAAUAGCGUAUAUUAAAGUUGUUGCAGUUAAAAAGCUCGUAGUUGAAUUUCGGAGUUUGUCGGUUGGUCGGGCUUCAUUGUCCGCACUGACCUGAUGGAUUCCUACCUUCUGAAUAACCAGCAUGCUAUUAAGUUAGUGCGUUGGGGAAGCAGAGCUAUUACCUUGAAAAAAUUAGAGUGCUUAAAGCAGGCUUAUGCUUGAAUAGAUUAGCAUGGAAUAAUAAAAUAGGACGGCAUGGUUCUAUUUUGUUGGUUUCUAGGAUCACCGUAAUGAUUAAUAGGGAUAGUUGGGGGCAUUAGUAUUCAAUUGUCAGAGGUGAAAUUCUUGGAUUUAUUGAAGACUAACUUCUGCGAAAGCAUUUGCCAAGGAUGUUUUCAUUAAUCAAGAACGAAAGUUAGGGGAUCGAAGACGAUCAGAUACCGUCGUAGUCUUAACCAUAAACUAUGCCGACUAGGGAUCGGACGAUGUUAAUUUAAUGACUCG
rnacentral:rRNA from 1 species